GCUCCUAUUACGGUCACCGACUUCAGGUACCCCAGACUUCCAUGGCUUGACGGGCGGUGUGUACAAGGCCCGGGAACGUAUUCACCGCGCCAUGGCUGAUGCGCGAUUACUAGCGAUUCCAGCUUCAUAGAGUCGAGUUGCAGACUCCAAUCCGAACUGAGACCGGCUUUCGAGAUUCGCAUCCUGUCACCAGGUAGCUGCCCUCUGUACCGGCCAUUGUAUUACGUGUGUGGCCCAAGACGUAAGGGCCGUGAUGAUUUGACGUCAUCCCCACCUUCCUCUCUACUUGCGUAGGCAGUCCCAACAGAGUCCCCAACUGAAUGAUGGCAACUGUUGGCAGGGGUUGCGCUCGUUGCAGGACUUAACCUAACACCUCACGGCACGAGCUGACGACAACCAUGCAGCACCUUGAAAAUUGCCCGAAGGAGGAUCUAUUUCUAAAUCUGUCAAUUCCCAUUUAAGUCUUGGUAAGGUUCCUCGCGUAUCAUCGAAUUAAACCACAUAAUCCACCGCUUGUGCGGGCCCCCGUCAAUUCCUUUGAGUUUCAUCCUUGCGGACGUACUCUCCAGGUGGCUAACUUAUCACUUUCGCUUGGUCUCUGAACCCGAAGAUCCAAAAACGAGUUAGCAUCGUUUACGGCGUGGACUACCAGGGUAUCUAAUCCUGUUCGCUCCCCACGCUUUCGUCCAUCAGCGUCAGUUAAAUCUUAGUGACCUGCCUUCGCAAUCGGUGUUCUAAGUAAUAUCUAUGCAUUUCACCGCUACACUACUUAUUCCAGCCACUUCAAAUUUACUCAAGGCCUGCAGUAUCAAUGGCAGUUUCAUAGUUAAGCUAUGAGAUUUCACCACUGACUUACAGGCCCGCCUACGGACCCUUUAAACCCAAUAAAUCCGGAUAACGCUCGCACCCUCCGUAUUACCGCGGCUGCUGGCACGGAGUUAGCCGGUGCUUAUUCGUACAGUACUUUCAGCUGCCCUCACGAGGGCAGGUUUAUCCCUGUACAAAAGAAGUUUACAAUCCAUAGGACCGUCAUCCUUCACGCGGGAUGGCUGGAUCAGGCUUCCACCCAUUGUCCAAUAUUCCUCACUGCUGCCUCCCGUAGGAGUCUGGUCCGUGUCUCAGUACCAGUGUGGGGGAUCUCCCUCUCAGGACCCCUAAAGAUCAUCGACUUGGUGGGCCGUUACCCCGCCAACUAUCUAAUCUUGCGCGUGCCCAUCUCUAUCCGCCGAGGCUUUCAAUGGCGACCGAUGCCGGACACCAUAUUAUGGGGUAUUAAUCUUCCUUUCGAAAGGCUAUCCCCCAGAUAAAGGCAGGUUGCACACGUGUUACGCACCCGUACGCCGCUCUCUGGAUAGCAAGCUAUCCAUACCGCUCGGCUGCA
rnacentral:rRNA from 1 species